UCCUAGUUAGUACAACGGUUAGUAUAUGUCGCUCUCAUAAGAUCUUCUGGUCUGUGAAGCGCCGACAAGACCCGGGUUCGACUCCCGGAUUGGGAA